rnacentral:rRNA from 1 species
GAUGAACGCUGGCGGCGUGCUUAACACAUGCAAGUCGAACGGUGAAGCAGGAGCUUGCUCCUGUGGAUCAGUGGCGAACGGGUGAGUAACACGUGAGUAACCUGCCCCAGACUCUGGGAUAAGCGUUGGAAACGACGUCUAAUACCGGAUACGAGACGAGAAGGCAUCUUCAUCGUCUGGAAAGAAUCUCGGUCUGGGAU